rnacentral:misc_RNA from 1 species
AACGCAAAUUGCACUCUCUGGUAUUCCGGGGAGUAUGCCUGUUUGAGGGUCGCUUAACAAACCAUCGAUUUCGUUGCUUUUUUAAAGUGAUGUUUAUCGGAUUUGAGCCGUCUUUUUUUUUAUAUUUAAGUGGCUUAAAAUUGAUUUUUUUUGGUACGAUCGAAGCGUAUUUUUAUGAUCAAUUUUUGGUUAAAGAAACGCACACGUACCGUCAUUUAAUAUGAUGUAAUACGUUUGACUAUUGGAUUUAGUUCAUUCGUAUACGAUAUUUUUCAAUAUUUGACCUCAAAUCAGGUAAGAACACCCGCUGAACUUAA